rnacentral:rRNA from 1 species
UAAACGAAUGGAGCCGUAGCGAAAGCGAGUCCGAAUAGGGCGACUAGUCAGUGGGGGCAGACGCGAAACUUUGUGAUCUAUCCAUGGGCAGGUUGAAGUUCUGGUAACACAGAAUGGAGGACCGAACCCGUUGACGUUGAAAAGUCUUGGGAUGACCUGUGGAUAGGGGUGAAAGGCCAAUCAAACUGAGAGAUAGCUCGUUCUCCCCGAAAUGUUUUUAGGAACAGCCUUGUAUAUAGAAGUUUAACAGAGGUAGAGCUACUGAUUGGGCUAGGGGGCUUCACCGCCUACCAAACCCUGACAAACUCCGAAUGCUGUUAAAUAUCUACAGGAGUGAGGCUGCGGGCGCUAAGGUCCGUGGCCGAGAGGGAAAUAACCCAGACUAGCAACUAAGGUCCCUAAUACGUAGUUAAGUUGAUCAAACGAGGUGGGAUUUCAAUAACAGCCAGGAUGUUGGCUUGGAAGCAGCCAUUCAUUUAAAGAGUGCGUAACAGCUCACUGGUCGAGAGAUCCUGCACGGAAAAUAAUCGGGCAUCAAACUACGAACCGAAGUUCUAGAUUCAGAUAAUAUCUGAGUGGUAGGGGAGCAUUGAAAUUGCAUCGAAGCUGUUAGGCGACUAAUGGUGGAGCGAUUUCAAAAGAAAAUGUAGGCAUAAGUAACGAUAAAAGAAGUGAAAAACUUCUUCGCCGAAAGUCUAAGGGUUCCUGAUCAACGUUAAUCGGAUCAGGGUUAGUCUGGUCCUUAGGAAAACCCGAAAGGGGCAUCUGAUGGAAAGAAGGUUAAUAUUCCUUCACCUGCUAUACAUUAAAAGUGACGCAUCGACGUGGUGGUUACGUACUGACAGAAUAGUGCGUAGAGAUGAAUCUUCGGAGGAGUCGAAAUCAUAAAAUUGGUGCCGAGAAAAGCGAGUAUAGCAGCCAGUACCGCAAACCGACACAGGUAGACGGGAUGAGUAUUCUAAGGCGCUCGGGUGAGCCGUGGAGAAGGAACUAGGCAAAUUGACGCUGUAACUUCGGGACAAGGCGUACCGUAGCGAUACGGUCUCAGUAAAAUGAUUCAACCAACUGUUUAACAAAAACACAGGGCCCUGCAAAAUCGAAAGAUGACGUAUAGAGCCUGAAACCUGCCCGGUGCUGGAAGGUUAAGGAAGGAUGUUCGGCGCAAGCCAAAGCUUCUGACUGAAGCCCCAGUAAACGGCGGCCGUAACUAUAACGGUCCUAAGGUAGCGAAAUUCCUUGUCGGGUAAGUUCCGACCUGCACGAAUGGUCUAAUGAGUUGAAUACUGUCUCCUCCACGAGCCCGGUGAAAUUGUAGUAUCGGUGAAGAUGCCGGUUACCCGCCACGGGACGGAAAGACCCCGUGAACCUUCACUACAACUUUGCAUUGAUCUUGAGUAACAAAUGUGUAGGAUAGUUGGGAGACUGUGAAGUAGCUUCGCCAGGAGUUAUGGAGUCAACGUUGAAAUACCAACCUUUUGUUACUUAGGACCUAAUCCUGAAAAAGGAGACAUUGCAUGGUGGGUAGUUUGACUGGGGUGGUCGCCUCCUAAAAAGUAACGGAGGCUUGCAAAGGUACCCUCAGUACGGUUGGUAAUCGUACGUAGAGCGCAUUAGUAUAAGGGUGCUUGACUGUGAGACAAACAAGUCGAUCAGGAGCGAAAGCUGGCUAAAGUGAUCCGGCGGUUCUGUAUGGAAGGGCCGUCGCUCAAAGGAUAAAAGGUACUCCGGGGAUAACAGGCUGAUCUUACCCAAGAGCUCAUAUCGACGGUAAGGUUUGGCACCUCGAUGUCGGUUCGUCACAUCCUGGGGCUGGAGAAGGUCCCAAGGGUUCGGCUGUUCGCCGAUUAAAGUGGCACGUGAACUGGGUUCAGAACGUCGCAAGACAGUUCGGUCCCUAUCUGUGGUGGGCGUUAGGAAAUUGCGGGGACGUGACCUUAGUACGAGAGGACCGGGUCGCAUGUACCGCUGGUGAAUCUGUUAUGCCGCUCGGUGUAUUGCAGAGUAGCUAUGUACAGUCAGGAUAAACGCUGAAAGCAUCUAAGCGUGAAACCUACCUCAAGAUGAGUUUCCUUUUAAGGGUUGUCAAAGACUAUGACGUUGAUAGGCUAUAGAUGUAAAGUUGGUAACAACAAAGUCGAGUAGUACUAAUUACCCGUAAGCUUUAAUUUU